UAGGGAAUAUUGCAAAAUGGGCGAAAGCCCGAUGCAGCAACGCCGCGUGGGCGAUGAAGGCCUUCGGGUCGUAAAACCCUUUUUGAGGGGAUGAGGAAGGACAGUACCCUCAGAAUAAGCCUCGGCUAACUACGUGCAAGCAGCAGCGGUAAAACGUAGGAGGCGAGCGUUAUCCGGAUUUACUGGGCGUAAAGCGCGUGCAGGCGGAUUGGAGAGUUGGAUGUGAAAGCUCCCGGCUUAACUGGGAGAGGUCGUUCAAUACUUCCAGUCUUGAGUGCAGUAGAGGGAAGUGGAAUUCCGGGUGUAGUGGUGAAAUGCGUAGAUAUCCGGAGCAACACCAGUGGCGAAAGCGGCUUCCUGGACUGUAACUGACGCUCAGACGCGAAAGCUAGGGUAGCAAACG
rnacentral:rRNA from 1 species